AGGUUGGAUUAGAUUUCUCGCUGCCUUUCAUCACAAUACCCAUCAAAAAUUCAGACCAUGGCUCACCAUUCGCUCAUAAUGAUUUGAGUUUACCAAAGAUACACGUCAAUCUUUCUUCACUAAUCGUUGGAGGAUUAGUGUUCUUAGUGACAACUUUUAUUUCGCCUCUUCUCAACAAAUCUUACGGAUCAUACCACAGAUCAUCUAGAGUUUCAGAUAACGUUGAACAUAAUCCAUUUAUGGAAUUCAGUAAACAAAUAAUGGAGAAAAACGAGGGUUGUCUUGAAAGAUUUGCAUGUGUGUCAGGUCAGCAGAAACAUGACAUGCAAUAUUUAAGGACGAUGAAACGAAUUAUGAGGAACAAACUCCUUUCCUCAAUAUUAAACACCACAGCCUUAGAAGAGGCUUCGAACAGAGGCUUACGAGGGUACGACUGUCUUGGAUACGAGCCUUGUGCUUUAAUGAAAGAAGACUUUAUUACGAUAAUGGAUAACCUCGCUGCAUAUCAAAAGCCGAAUAAAACUUAAUCCACAAUUUUAUAUCUACCAAAUACAAAGUUGUUAAUUAGUUAAAGUUUAAAAAUAAUGACAUUCAGUUCCUAUCCAGAUUUGGCCCCCAGUGACAUUUUCCUGUUCCCAGACCUCAAGAGAAUGCUCGCUGGACAGACAUUUUGCGCCCAUGUAGAGUUAAUCGCCGAAACUAAAGCCUAUUUUGAGCCUUAAGACAAAACAUACUAUAAAAAUGGUAUCGAAAAAUUUCAUAACCGCUAUUGUUGUAUUGUUCUCGAUGGCAACUCCACUGAAUAAUCAAAUUAACGUCUAUCAGAAAAAAACUUUUUCUUUGUUAGCCCAUGAACUUUUCAGCCCACAAUUACUUUUCAUCUCUCUACUUAUUUUAAAAUUGUUAAUUAAUCUUAGACACAUAGCAUUAGUUUCACCUUCUGUGGGCCUUAAAUACUUCUUUUAUAUUCUUUUUAUAUUUCUGAUCAUGUUUUAUACGUAUAAGCUAGCUAAUCUUUUUGAAAUGCAUCAUCAUUAUAAGAAAAAGAUCAAAGUAUUUGCUAAUCAACCCUCAAUACGAGAUAAAGUACAUUUAUACUACAAAAUACCUUAAGAAUUAAUCUUAAAUCUAAUACAAUAAAACUAUAUACGAACAAUUAACAAGAUCUUUAUUUAUCAUAAUAUAUCUGAAAACUUAUAGAAAACAAGAGAAGCUAAGCUCUACAACAAUACCUGAUAACAAUAUGAGACGGUUUUCUUCAUUUGUCUUAAAAUUA